rnacentral:snoRNA from 1 species
AAAAAUGAUGAAAAAGCCCAAAUCUGAUUGAUGAUGAACGAAAGGACUUUCUGAUUU